rnacentral:lncRNA from 1 species
UGAACAAUACAGAAGAUUCUCUUGUGAGGGGUCUUCCUCUAGCUUUCCAGACUGGCAGCCUCCAGAAAGCAAUCUGCAUCGUGGAGAUGGCUCUUUGGGUAAAGGACUCGCCUUCAAGCAAGGUGACCAGAGGUGGGGCCAUCAUCAUACAUGUGAGUACCAGGGUUACUGAACAUUGAGCAUACGGUACUGAAGGGUCUCUGGGAAGACAAUCACGAGCUGAGCAUCAAGAUUAUUUCCAAUAAAAAAGACCAAAGUACACCUCAUCACAAGUCACUGACGACCAGAAACUUGUGUUUCAGAACAACAGUAACAAGAUGUAUAUAUGGAGGUGUGAAUUCCACUUCUAGAAUUAACUAGGUCAAAAGUUUUGCUGUUGCAUCCAAAUGAACCAAGAUAAGAACCCACCGAGCGACCUUAUCCCUCUUGAGAAGCCAGCACUCACAUCCAGAGUGUGCAGUCUUUCCUUCCUCAACUCCUCUUUUCCCUUAAGUCUAAACCUAAAACUAUGCUGGAAACUUUUCUUAAUAUAGACCUCAACCCUUCCUCAAGAUUUAAAACAAAAUCCAUAUUCUGAUUCCUUUUUAUGAAAAUUGUAACAUCAUAGCUAGAAUUACUUAGUUUGAACUGAAAUAGGAAUCCAUACCAGGCUCUCUUUUUAGACAAAAACCACUGAU